rnacentral:rRNA from 1 species
CCUGACGGUAGUCGUAUGCUCGUCUCCGAGACUAAGCCAUGCAAGUCCAAGUACACGUCCUUGAACGACGGAAACUGCGAACGGCUCAUUAAAUCAGUUGCGAUCUACUCGGCGUUCCGCGCCGCCGGAUAACCGUAGUAAUUCUAGGGCUAAUACGUGCGAAGCGCCCGAAGCCGCGAGGCGACGGGCGUUCUCGCCGGAUGUAGGAACCGACCCGGGGACCGCCGGGGCAACCCGGCGCCCCCGAGACGGGGCGAACCACGGUGAAAUGACGGAUCGUCGGCCCCGCGCCGGCGACUCGCCGAAUGAGUUUCUGACCUAUCAACUCGAGACGGCGGGGUAGAGGCCCGCCGCGGUAACGACGGGUAACGGGGAAGUCAGGGUUCGAUUCCGGAGAGGGAGCCCGAGAAACGGCUACCACUUCCAAGGAAGGCAGCAGGCGCGCAACUUACCCUAAUCUCGAUUCGAGGAGGUAGUGACAAGAAUACCGAUGCGGGACCC